CCUACGGGUGGCAGCAGUGGGGAAUAUUGCACAAUGGGCGCAAGCCUGAUGCAUCCAUGCCGCGUGUGUGAAGAAGGCCUUCGGGUUGUAAAGCACUUUCAGCGGGGAGGAAGGCGGUGAGGUUAAUAACCUCAUCGAUUGACGUUACCCGCAGAAGAAGCACCGGCUAACUCCGUGCCAGCAGCCGCGGUAAUACGGAGGGUGCAAGCGUUAAUCGGAAUUACUGGGCGUAAAGCGCACGCAGGCGGUCUGUCAAGUCGGAUGUGAAAUCCCCGGGCUCAACCUGGGAACUGCAUUCGAAACUGGCAGGCUAGAGUCUUGUAGAGGGGGGUAGAAUUCCAGGUGUAGCGGUGAAAUGCGUAGAGAUCUGGAGGAAUACCGGUGGCGAAGGCGGCCCCCUGGACAAAGACUGACGCUCAGGUGCGAAAGCGUGGGGAGCAAACAGGAUUAGAUACCCUAGUAGUC
rnacentral:rRNA from 1 species